UACAGAGGUCCCAAGCGUUGUUCGGAUUCACUGGGCGUAAAGGGUGCGUAGGUGGUGAGGUAAGUCGGAUGUGAAAGCUCGGAGCUCAACUCCGAAAUGGCAUUGGAAACUACCUUGCUCGAGGGUUGGAGGGGUGACUGGAAUGCUUGGUGUAGCAGUGAAAUGCGUAGAUAUCAAGCGGAACACCAGUGGCGAAGGCGAGUCCCUGGACAACUCCUGACACUGAGGCACGAAAGCCAGGGGAGCAAACGGG
rnacentral:rRNA from 1 species